GACGGCGUGGUUUGGCACCUCGAUGUCGGCUCAUCGCAUCCUGGGGCUGGAGCAGGUCCCAAGGGUUUGGCUGUUCGCCAAUUAAAGCGGUACGCGAGCUGGGUUCAGAACGUCGUGAGACAGUUCGGUCCCUAUCUGUCGUGGGCGUCGAAAUUUGAGGAGAGUUGCUUCUAGUACGAGAGGACCGAAGCGAACGCAUCUCUGGUGUACCAGUUGUCCUGCCAAGGGCAUUGCUGGGUAGCUAUCAUGCGGACGGGAUAAGCGCUGAAAGCAUAUAAGCGCGAAGCCUCCUCCAAGAUAAGAUUUCAUUAUAGGAUCCAUAUAGAACAUGUGGUUGAUAGGCUUUAGGUGUAAGUGCAGUAAUGCAUUGAGCCGAGAAGUACUAAUAGUCCGACAACUUAAAAUCUUUAUU
rnacentral:rRNA from 1 species